UGGUUCAAGAUAAUUUGUACCUUGUGUAGAACAAUGGAAAGCAAUACAAGUAGAAUGAUCACUCUGAAUGGUUCCAAUUAUCAUGUUUGGAAAGGAAAAAUGGAAGACUUAUUGUAUGUGAAGGAUUAUUAUUUGCCUGUGUUUGCUUCUGAAAGGCCAGAAAAUAAAACUGAUGCAGAAUGGAAUUUACUUUAUCGAUAGGUUUGCGGUUAUAUCAGACAAUGGGUAGAUGAUAAUGUUCUCAAUCAUGUUAGUGAAGAGAAACAUGCAAGGAGUCUAUGGAAUAAGCUCGAACAGUUAUAUGCUCGAAAGACUGGCAAUAAUAAAUUGUUUCUAAUCAAGAAGAUGAUGAGUUUGAAGUAUCAAGAUGGAACUCCUAUGACAGAUCAUUUGAAUACAUUCCAAGGUAUUAUUAAUCAGUUGGCUGGAAUGAAUAUCAAGUUUGAGGAAGAGGUGCAAGGGUUGUGGUUUCUUAG
rnacentral:lncRNA from 1 species